rnacentral:rRNA from 1 species
UUUAUAAAGAGUUUGAUCCUGGCUCAGGACGAACGCUGGCGGCACGCUUAACACAUGCAA